AUAUAUCUGUUAAAUACAAAGUUCCCAAAGAAAGUGAGUCUAAAUAAAAAAUAUUUAUACCAAGAGGAUAGAAAAUAUGAAAAGACUAAAAAAACUAGAGAAGCAAAUUAGAUGAGGGAGAGGCUAAUAUAAACUAAAAAAAUAUGCAAACCAUUAUAUUCUAUGUGUUAAUAGUCUCAUGAUAGAGAAAUAGUUGUAGAUGACUCUGCAAGUUAUGACCUUCUAUACCAAGUGUGCCAUUUAGCAUGUUGUCUCG
rnacentral:lncRNA from 1 species